GCCGGUGUAACUCAGAGGUAGAGUAGUCGCUUCGUAAGCGACCUGUCGUCGGUUCGAUUCCGACCACCGGCU
rnacentral:tRNA from 1 species